rnacentral:rRNA from 1 species
GUUGUUGGGUAGGGGAGCGUUCUGUAAGCCGUUGAAGGUGGCCUGUGAGGGUUGCUGGAGGUAUCAGAAGUGCGAAUGCUGACAUAAGUAACGAUAAUGCGGGUGAAAAACCCGCACGCCGGAAGACCAAGGGUUCCUGUCCAACGUUAAUCGGGGCAGGGUGAGUCGACCCCUAAGGCGAGGCCGAAAGGCGUAGUCGAUGGGAAACAGGUUAAUAUUCCUGUACUCGGUGUUACUGCGAAGGGGGGACGGAGAAGGCUAUGUUGGCCGGGCGACGGUUGUCCCGGUUUAAGCAUGUAGGCGGAUGUUCCAGGUAAAUCCGGAACGUUACUAACGCUGAGGUGUGAUGACGAGGCACUACGGUGCUGAAGUGACAAAUGCCCUGCUUCCAGGAAAAGCCUCUAAGCAUCAGGUAACAUCAAAUCGUACCCCAAACCGACACAGGUGGUCAGGUAGAGAAUACCAAGGCGCUUGAGAGAACUCGGGUGAAGGAACUAGGCAAAAUGGUGCCGUAACUUCGGGAGAAGGCACGCUGAUGGUAGGUGAAGUGACUUGCUCAUGGAGCUGAAAUCAGUCGAAGAUACCAGCUGGCUGCAACUGUUUAUUAAAAACACAGCACUGUGCAAACACGAAAGUGGACGUAUACGGUGUGACGCCUGCCCGGUGCCGGAAGGUUAAUUGAUGGGGUUAUCCGUAAGGAGAAGCUCUUGAUCGAAGCCCCGGUAAACGGCGGCCGUAACUAUAACGGUCCUAAGGUAGCGAAAUUCCUUGUCGGGUAAGUUCCGACCUGCACGAAUGGCGUAAUGAUGGCCAGGCUGUCUCCACCCGAGACUCAGUGAAAUUGAACUCGCUGUGAAGAUGCAGUGUACCCGCGGCAAGACGGAAAGACCCCGUGAACCUUUACUAUAGCUUGACACUGAACACUGGUCCUUGAUGUGUAGGAUAGGUGGGAGGCUUUGAAGUGUGGACGCCAGUCUGCAUGGAGCCAUCCUUGAAAUACCACCCUUUAAUGGCUGGUGUUCUAACGUGGGCCCGUAAUCCGGGUUGCGGACAGUGUCUGGUGGGUAGUUUGACUGGGGCGGUCUCCUCCUAAAGAGUAACGGAGGAGCACGAAGGUCAGCUAAUCCUGGUCGGACAUCAGGAGGUUAGUGCAAUGGCAUAAGCUGGCUUGACUGCGAGCGUGACGGCGCGAGCAGGUGCGAAAGCAGGUCAUAGUGAUCCGGUGGUUCUGAAUGGAAGGGCCAUCGCUCAACGGAUAAAAGGUACUCCGGGGAUAACAGGCUGAUACCGCCCAAGAGUUCAUAUCGACGGCGGUGUUUGGCACCUCGAUGUCGGCUCAUCACAUCCUGGGGCUGAAGUAGGUCCCAAGGGUAUGGCUGUUCGCCAUUUAAAGUGGUACGCGAGCUGGGUUUAGAACGUCGUGAGACAGUUCGGUCCCUAUCUGCCGUGGGCGCUGGAGAAUUGAGGGGGGCUGCUCCUAGUACGAGAGGACCGGAGUGGACGCAUCACUGGUGUUCGGGUUGUCAUGCCAAUGGCAUUGCCCGGUAGCUAAAUGCGGAAGAGAUAAGUGCUGAAAGCAUCUAAGCACGAAACUUGCCCCGAGAUGAGUUCUCCCUGACUCCCUGAGAGUCCUGAAGGAACGUUGAAGACGACGACGUUGAUAGGCCGGGUGUGUAAGCGCAGCGAUGCGUUGAGCUAACCGGUACUAAUGAACCGUGAGGCUUAACCUU